UACGUAGGGGGCAAGCGUUGUCCGGAAUCAUUGGGCGUAAAGAGCGUGUAGGCGGCCAGAUAGGUCAGCUGUGAAAACUCGGGGCUCAACCCUGAGACGUCGGUUGAAACCAUCUGGCUAGAGUCCGGAAGAGGAGUGUGGAAUUCCCGGUGUAGCGGUGAAAUGCGCAGAUAUCGGGAAGAACACCCGUGGCGAAGGCGGCACUCUGGGACGGUACUGACGCUGAGACGCGAAAGCGUGGGGAGCGAACAGG
rnacentral:rRNA from 1 species